ensembl:miRNA
AGUUUUAGUUACCCCUGGUCAGCUGCAGUCUGAAAAUAUGAAAUAGAAAAUUCCAGACUGUGGCUGACCAGGGGUAACUGAAACC